CACGCUGGCGGCAUGCCUAACACAUGCAAGUCGAACGAGACCUUCGGGUCUAGUGGCGCACGGGUGCGUAACACGUGGGAAUUUGCCUCGGGGUAUGGAAUAACUCAGGGAAACUUGAGCUAAUACCAUAUAAUGUCUUCGGACCAAAGAUUUAUCGCCCUGAGAUAAGCCCGCGUAGGAUUAGCUAGUUGGUGGGGUAAGGGCUCACCAAGGCGACGAUCCUUAGCUGGUCUGAGAGGAUGAUCAGCCACACUGGGACUGAGACACGGCCCAGACUCCUACGGGAGGCAGCAGUGGGGGAAUAUUGGACAAUGGGCGAAAGCCUGAUCCAGCAAUGCCGCGUGAGUGAUGAAGGCCUUCGGGUUGUAAAGCUCUUUUACUCGGGACGAUAAUGACGGUACCGAGAGAAUAAGCCCCGGCUAACUCCGUG
rnacentral:rRNA from 1 species